rnacentral:rRNA from 1 species
CAUGNUNCCCGGCCCGCCAUGGGCCGCGGGAUUACACCUACCGGGAGGCAGCAGNGGGGAAUAUUGCACAAUGGGGCCGCCAAGCCUUGAAUGCAGCGACGCCGCGUGAGGGAUGGAGGCCUUCGGGUUGUGAACCUCUUUCGCCAGUGAAGCAGGCCUGUCCCUUUUGUGGUGGGUUGACGGUAGCUGGAUAAGAAGCGCCGGCUAACUACGUGCCAGCAGCCGCGGUAAUACGUAGGGCGCGAGCGUUGUCCGGAAUUAUUGGGCGUAAGAGCUCGUAGGCGGCUGGUCGCGUCUGUCGUGAAAUCCUCUCCCCUUAACUGGGGGCUUGCGGUGGGUACGGGCCGGCUUGAGUGCGGUAGGGGAGACUGGAACUCCUGGUGUAGCGGUGGAAUGCGCAGAUAUCAGGAAGAACACCGGUGGCGAAGGCGGGUCUCUGGGCCGUUACUGACGCUGAGGAGCGAAAGCGUGGGGAGCGAACAGGAUUAGAUACCCUGGUAGUCCACGCCGUAAACGUUGGGCACUAGGUGUGGGGGGCCUUUUCCGGGUUUUCCGCGCCGUAGCUAACGCAUUAAGUGCCCCGCCUGGGGAGUACGGCCGCAAGGCUAAAACUCAAAGGAAUUGACGGGAAUC